AUUGAACGCUGGCGGCAUGCUUUACACAUGCAAGUCGAACGGUAACAGGCCUUCGGGUGCUGACGAGUGGCGAACGGGUGAGUAAUGCAUCGGAACGUGCCCAGAGGUGGGGGAUAACGCAGCGAAAGCUGUGCUAAUACCGCAUGUGAUCUGAGGAUGAAAGCGGGGGACCAGGCAGCAAUGUUUGGCCUCGCGCCUUUGGAGCGGCCGAUGUCAGAUUAGGUAGUUGGUGGGGUAAAGGCCUACCAAGCCGACGAUCUGUAGCUGGUCUGAGAGGACGACCAGCCACACUGGGACUGAGACACGGCCCAGACUCCUACGGGAGGCAGCAGUAGGGAAUUUUGGACAAUGGGCGCAAGCCUGAUCCAGCAAUGCCGCGUGCGGGAAGAAGGCCUUCGGGUUGUAAACCGCUUUUGUACGGAACGAAAAGGCUCUGGCUAAUACCUGGGGCUGAUGACGGUACCGUAAGAAUAAGCACCGGCUAACUACGUG
rnacentral:rRNA from 1 species